ACGGCUCAGUAACACGUCGGUAAUCUGCCGUGUGGUCAAGAAUAAACUCGGGAAACUGAGGGGAAAUCUUGAUAGGAGAAUAUGUCUGGAAUGACUUUUCUCGAAAACUCGUGCCACACGAUGAGCCGGCGGCGGAUUAGGCUGUUGGCGGGGUAAUGGCCCACCAAACCGAAGAUCCGUACGGGCCUUGAGAGAGGGAGCCCGGAGAGGGACACUGAGAUACUGGUCCCAGCCCUACGGGGUGCAGCAGGCGCGAAAACUUUCCAAUGCACGAAAGUGUGAGAAGGGAAUCCCUAGUGCUUACACAUUGUGUAGGCUUUUGCCAAGUGUAAAUAGCUUGGCGAAUAAGUGGUGGGUAAGACCGGUGCCAGCCGCCGCGGUAACCCCGGCGCCACAAGUGGUCAUCGCGUUUAUUGGGUCUAAAGCGUCCGUAGCCGGUUUGGUAAAUCCAUUGUGAAAUCGUCUCGCUUAACGUGACGGCGCGCAGUGGACACCGCCAGACUCGAGACCGGGAGGGGACAGAGGUAUUCCGAAGGGAACGGUAAAAUGUGAUAAUCUUCGGAGGACCCCCAAUGGCGAAGGCAUCUGUCCAGAACGGAUCUGACGGUGAGGGACGAAAGCUAGGGGAGCAAACCGGAUUAGAUACCCGAGUAGUCCUAGCCGUAAACGCUGUGUGCUAGGUGUUGCGCAACCUACGAGGUUGUGCAGUGUCGAAAUGAAGAUGAUAAGCACACCACCUGGGAAGUACGGUCGCAAGGCUGAAACUUUAAGGAAUUGGCGGGGGAGCAC
rnacentral:rRNA from 1 species